AACAAGGCCAGUGUGGCUGCACCAGAGAGAUCAAGAGCAUUCAUGAGCAGAGAAGUGUUACUCACUGAGGGAUGGAGAGAAGGCAUCAUGCACUUGAAAAAUUUCUGAAGACUUGGGAUAUUUGAAAGUAGCGCAUUUCACUCAUUCAUGUGGAGUCUUCACCUGAUGGAUGCCUCAUUCUGUGAAUAAACUGGCGGUGUUGAUCUACAGCUGUAUACAGACCACAUCUUUCUUCUAAAGCUGCAAGGCACACAUUUAAACUCAAAUCUCAGAGAUUGCAACACCUAGAUUGCAGUACAAAUUGGUAUGACCGACCAGACCCAGCAACCAUCGAUCUUCAUUCUUCCUGCCACCCUGAAAACUGAAACCUUUUGUAGCAAGAGGUAACUAAAAUUCUGAAGUCGGCUUGCAAUAAAGGGAAGCAACAACUUUAAGAUUGGACUGAAAUAUCUGACAGCUCUCUGAAACAAAACAAAAACAAAAUGUACCCAGGUUUCAGUUACGCUCUAUUUGGUUUCUUUUCUUGUUAAAUAAGUGCUGGCAUAUAACUCAUUAGACACCUUGUGGGCCGCCCCACAAAGAUGUGGGCAGUUCAAUUUAGAGUAAGUGGGAGGUGUAUAAUUCAGAGUUUACACUUCUAGAUAAAUCAGGCUUCAGCAUGAGAUUUUUGCCAUAUACUUCAGAUAAUCUUAUUUCCCUAGCUGCUGGCUCAAAUUUGAAUUUAAACAGAAAUACAAACAAUACAUAGAGGGGGGAAAGUUUUCCAAUAACAAUUUCCAUUAAUAAUGAAAAUUUGUUUGAGGAAGUAAACACCUCUUAGAACUUGUUUUCCUGAUUCAUUCCUUCAUUUUGGAGUAGACAGGAAAACUAUGUCCUUAUCUAGGAGGCUGAAGGCAGAUCAUCUGUUUGGUCUAUUCUCAAGUGGUUCUAAAACCUUUUUAACUAGUCUUGGAGACAUGUUUAACUGUUGGUCAGAGAAUGUGCUUUUACUAGAAAGAGCUUCAGCAGAUUCUCUCUUCUUGGUGUCUAGUGAUUUCUGCCCAACCCUUGGCCUUUCCUGGGACAGUUUGUGCUCAAACUGGAUGAUCACAUGUCUCCAAGUGUAGCUUGACCUAAGUCUGUUUAAUGGGUAGACAGGGCAUUAGAAGUGGUUGCGGAUUUUUCUUCUAUCAGAAAAAUAUAUAUUAAAAACAAAACAGCAACAAUAAAAAGUACAAGACAAAAACAAGCAAACAAACAAACAGAAAACUGGAGUAUCUCUCAUUUGAGAAAUAUCCCUUCUCCCUCAAGAUGAUUAGAAUUCUGUGGCAUAUAGUUUCCACAGUUAUCAAGAUGAGGUUUACUAUUAGGCCUCAACAGACAAAAUAACACCACAACACACUGCUCUUUGCCAACUAUAUGGCCAAAGAUUUACAAAUGAAUAACUAUUUCACUCAAUGCUAAUUAUGGUAUGAUGGUACUAGCAUUCUCAUUCCCAGCUGUUGCUAGUUGUGGUAGACUAUUUGCAACAAAUGACAGAAGUUCCCUUACUUGAAAGAAUCCCCCCUUGCCAUGUAAUUUUGCAAAUCCCCUCAUCAACAGAUGGAGUAUCCUUGCCCUUCUCUUUAACCUGGGCUGGCCUUGUGACUUUCUUUGACCAACAGAGUGUGGUGGAAGUGAUUCUUGACCCAGACAUAAUGACACUUUUAUGUCUGCAUAUAACAUCAUGAGAAGCUUUCUUGCUCUUAUUCUGCCCUUGUCUGUAGUGGAGAAUCAUCUGUUAUUGCUAUUUGAGAUCACAAGUCAUUACCUUCCUGAGGAAUGGACUCUGUUAUUAAAUUCACUCUCAUCUUUCUGAUUUAGAUUUCUCCUAAUACUGAUUUCUCCUAAUCCUCCCUCAGAAAGACUGAUUUCUACUGCUUAAUUCUAGGCACAGCUUACUUUCAGAAUACACAUUUUGACCAAACUCUUCAUAAACUGUGUAGAACCAGACAAGGGUGGGGUAAGUAAAUAAAACAAGGCGCUUAGAUUGGAUGCAAUAUUUAAGGGGCACCAAAAACGCAAAAGUCAAGAGAAAUAAUAGUUUAAUGCAGUAUUAUAAAAAAUCAAAAUCAAUGCAAAAGUCCAUAAUGAACACACUAUCAGAAAUUUAAACAAAGACAUGAUGAGUAUGGAACCAUGUAAGAUGGAUUUGGGCUAAAUAUAUCUAAGUUAAAUUUCUUUACUUUGACAGUUGUUACUUGUGAGGCCUCAGAAAAUUUAUAUUCUCCAAAUCUCUGUUUUGUCAUUUGCAUAAUGGAACUAUUAUUUUCUGUGGGUUAUUUAAAAGAGUAAAUAAAAUAAGGCAUAAACUACUUAGCCUGUUCUUACCACAUAUUACUACCCAGUGUUAAUGAUUUGUC
rnacentral:lncRNA from 10 species